CCUCUAUAGAAAAGAGCAAACGACGCAUUUUACAGUAGAGCUCCCUUCUUCUUCUUCUUCUUCUUCUUCUUCUUCUUCUUCUUCUUCUUCUUCUUCGAUCUUUCUCCAAAUCACACCCAAAAGGAAGCUAACAAUCAGAAAACCUUCCCAUUGAAAGAAACCGAGGAGCAGCCACGCAUCACAAAAGCAGCAAAAGCCGAGGUCUAAGACAGAAAAAGGAAAAGCCACAACAACUAGAAAAUCUGAGUUUCCAGAUCUGAAAAGCAACGAAAAAUCAUAGAAAAAUCUGAGAAAAAGAGAGAACAAAAAAUAAUAAAAGUGAGUUUUCAGUUUGCUGUCAUUUUUACGGCAAUUUUAUACCAAUUCUGUUUCUUCAAAUGGACAUUUAAUCAAGAACAAAGCUGUUUCUGCACUGUUCUUACUGUUGACCUUGCUGAAGUUAUCUUAGUGGAGAUUUUCUUAGCCUUUAUUUGGAAAGCAUCUCAUUUUCAGCUACAAGUCUAGAGACAAAAUGUGUAUUCUCAAUUCUCCGUCUGUCGAAAUGUGUGUGGCUUGAUGAGUGUGUGACAGUGUGUGUGUAGUGUGCUUAAUUUUGUAAAUAUUGUUAGUAGAAUAUCUUUUUAGCUUCUUUUUCGAAUUUUCUUGAUAGAAUAAAAGGGUUAGAGCUAAUGUGAAGUAAUACAACUGCAAAAUUAUAUUGUUGUAGGGGAAAAAAUAUGGAACUAUGUGGUUUUUAAGUAAGACAUGAAAGAGUGAUUUAAUGUGUUAUGCAUUUGGUGGAGUCACUCUUGAACCAAACAUAAUGGAAACUAAAUGCACUUGUGCAGAAAACCUUACUUUUGUUCCUUCCCUUCUCUUUGGGAUGUUACUCCAACCUUUUAAUAAAUCUGUUUGCUAAUUGAAUACUACUUAUGGUAUCAAUAUGUUGAUAAACAUGGAUGGUUCAUACUUUUGCUGCAUUAUGUUGUCAUAAUUUAAGAUUCCAUUCUCAGAUAUAGGAAGUUGUAUUUCUAUGCGUGUUCAUCUGUGAUAUCUAAACACGUUACACUGCAGUAUGAUGAUUCAGUUCAUGUAAAGUUGGUUAAGCUGAUCUAAAUAGAUAAUUUCUUGUUGUUCUUUUUUCACUUUAAGAAAAAAUGGGGAUUGUGAAUAAAAAUCAUGCUAAUAGGCAAGUUUUUACUUAA